AAGAUUUAAGUUUUUUUAUUUUAAUUUUUGUAUUUAAAUUGUUUAUUUAAAAUAAAGGAUAAAACAUAGGUGUUGUUCCAAUGAUAUUUUUUGUACUUUUUUUCAUUCAUAAGGUGAUAUCUGUCUAAAACUUAACGUCACAUUCAGAUCCUCUACCAAAACAUGACUAUGUUGUACAUUUAUUUUUCCAAAAAUGGGAGAUUAACUCCACAUGUUAUAUCAUGAAUGGAAAACAGUUCUAACAGCAUAUAAGCAAUUGUACAUAAGUUUAGUCCUUUAAAAAAAUGCUAAUCUAAAAGAUCGAAUCUCAUUCUCCGUUUGUUCUUCAUUCUAUGUUUUUUUUAACACAUUGUAAAAUUCUACUCGCUCUAUCUCAAAUUAUAAAUCAUUUUC
rnacentral:lncRNA from 1 species